GAGCACGUAGGUGGGUUUGUAAGUCAGAUGUGAAAGCCUUCUGUUCAACGGAAGAAUUGCAUCUGAAACUGCGAGUCUUGAGUGUAGGAGGGGAGAAUGGAACUUCUGGUGGAGCGGUGAAAUGCGUAGAUAUCAGAAGGAACGCCGGCGGCGAAAGCGAUUCUCUGGCCUAUUACUGAUACUCAGUGUGCGAAAGCUAGGGGAGCAAACGGGAUUAGAUACCCCGGUAGUCCUAGCCUUAAACGAUGGGCACUAAGUAGAGGGGUUUU
rnacentral:rRNA from 1 species